rnacentral:lncRNA from 1 species
CAUUUAUCAUUUUCCUUUAUUCCCAUAGUGCUUUGGUCAGUGUUUCUUGGAUGUCCACAAGGAAACUCUUCCUCUUUGAAGUAUUACCUUCUCCUGCCCAGUCACCCUGCUGACGUGGGUCAGAAGAGCAAAGAAUUUCAAACAUGUUCACCAAAGCCUGGGAUUAUCUCUUUAGCUUUCAUUUUAGAAACUUCCCUCCCAUUUGUUUCUUAUUUCUUCAUAGCUCCUAUGAAUUGAACACAUAAGCAUGCACACAAAUACACAAACACACAGGCACACACACACACACAUGUGACACUCUCACAGUAAUGCAGACACACAUAGACACA